CUGCUGCAGCACCCCUUCCUGCGCCGCGCCGGCCCGCCCGCGCUGCUCGUGCCGCUCAUGCCGCCGCCGCCCCGCCCCGCCCCCGCCACCUGUAAUUAAGAUAUUCUUAACGACUUACCAGAUGCCCACCAGUUCGACACGAAAAAGACGUAUUUAUUUUAUCGAAGUGACGUAGAGCUUGCAGCUUCCUUGCAUUUAGCAUUCCCACAACGAUCAUGAUUCAUGACAAACCAAAGUUGUUACGAAGCAACUUGUAAAGUGUAAUUUUAGUUUUUUGUACAAAAUAAUCGUUAUGUCACGCAUUUUAGCUAUCGUAAGCGGGAAUUACGUAUAGACCUGAAAUGUUGGUAUCCUAUAUUAUGUUUUACUAAGUAUAACUUUAAGAUUCUAACCAUAAAUAAAAUGGGACUUUCCAUAUCAAUAGAUACCUUAUGACAACUGUAUAAGGUAGGUUUUUGAAACAGAAAGCCGCAAAUAUUUACUUACAAUGCAACUAAAUAUAAACAACUAAACCACUACUAAAAUAUUUGUUAUCGUAAUUACGUACGUACCCUAAAAUUGUAUUGUAUGAAAAGUCAUUUGAAUUAAGUAACAAUCCGUUGAUUGUGGUUGGUGGAGCCGGUACCUUUGUAACAGUGGAUUUUCGGUUAAGAACGGUGCUGACAUGUGCGAAAUCUGCUCAAUACUAAAUGAUUGUAUAAUGAAUCGUGCUAUUAAAACGCUCCGAUUCAACUGCUCAAUCAAGUUAGUUUUGAACUUAUGAAUGGGUAACGGAAAUAAUACAGGUUUACAUACUAUUAGUAUUUGAUACAUAUAUACCUAUAUUCUCUUCUACUUCGCUUUUGCGUGGAAUAAAUUUCUCUGCAUCUUUUUUAUCUGAAAUCCACUCGUAGCCUAAAUUUAGCAGCCUUCAAAUAACAGUAUAAUAUACUUGACAACGUAUUUACAAUUUAAAUACGUAAUUUCCGCGUCUUAUCUUCCAGUGAAGUCAUUCCAUUGCCGAUCCAUAUGCUAUAUGGAAAACAUUCCUUGUAUUUCUUUAUUCUCUUGAACAUGUAAUCGAUAUAUCGUUGAAAAUAUAUUUAUCGUGUUUUUAUGCCAUAAAAUUGUUGGAUACAUAUUUGUUGUAGAUUUAUGCAUUAGUGUAUGCCUUUAAGGGUUAAGUAAUAUUAUCACGUUUCUAUAACUCCCGUCCAAAUGGAGUGUUAUACUGUUUUCUUGCACUAAUAUUAUAAUCAUACUUUGACUUAAAACAAGCCUUUUACACUUAUUUAGGUUCUUACCGAAUCGUGUCUUGUUAUACAGUGUGUUUUAAAAUUAGUAUCUUAAAAGAUGACAAAAAUUAAUCAGUAUUAUUGAGUAGCAAGACGGCUGCUAUUGUACUUAACUUACUAAAUUAUAAAUCGAUAUUAGUGGAUAUUAUUCGUAAUCGUAAGUUAAAAACGUCGAUUAAUCUUCUACAUUCCGGAAUGACUAUUUUAAAUUACUAUUUUCUUAUUUUUAUAUUCAACUUUAUACAUAUGUAAUGAUAUUAAAUGAAAUUUACAUAACGGUCAUAUCAGCCGAUGUUUAGACUUAAGACGCCCAAAAUCUCAAAUAUUCUGUCUAUAGGGCUUCGUAUGAAACAAAUCAAGUUUCUUCAUGGAACCAGUGUCCAGGCCCAUCAAAUUCAGUGGCAGCUAAAUAAACAAAAAACAUUCAAUAAACUUUAGUCGGGGGAAGCGCGACCUCGGGUAAAGAUGGAAAAUCUUAAACCCUUACGUCAUACUUGUAAAAUGAAUAGACGCAGUUGCCUUAUGGGAGCUCUUGUCCCAACAGAUCGUUGUUUCUUGCAUUUGAGCAAUCGAUAUCUACAUAUCUUAGUAAAUCAUAAAUUUUUGCAUUCGAGCGUAUUAACGAAGUUUUAUUAGCAAUAAGAAUAAAUAGUCACAAAUAUCCUUUCUUUCCGCUCCAUAGGUAUUUUAAAGAAGUUAGGAUAACUAAAAAUCGAUUUGGCCUUAAAACUGUGAUGUCUUUGAACCUGAUUAUAUUUUAACUUAACAAAGUUUUGCCUGCCAGAUAUACGAAAGAUUACAUUCUUACUUGCCAGAUUUUAGAGGACUUGUAUAGUCUUGUACAAAUAAAACUCAUUUGAACGACUAAAUUGUUAAACUUUAAACUGGAAAGCGAUCGCCACAGCCUCUCGAUGCUUGCAGUUCGGAUUUAUAAUGUUAGAGUCUGUGCGGAAAGAGGAGUCGUGAAAUGUAUGGGAUUCGAUCCAAUACAUUCUACGACUCUUCUCUUUCCACAGACUAUAGUCGUUUGAGUGAAUUUUGUAUGUAUGUACGAACAAACCACACGAUUUUGGCCUUAAUGUUUAGUGAGUAACAUUACCUAUUGUUUGUGAAUUAGUAAGCUUGAGUUGUGACUAAACGAUACAUGUUUAAAUCGAAAACGUAGGCAGCUAGAUGUUAUUAAAAUAGACUAGAGCCUUACCUAGACUUAGUGCCUUAACACAGCCUAGAUUGUUGAAAGCACGUUGAAUGCACCGUAUGUUAUUUACAAUAUUUUCUCGUAUUUAUACAACAUGUUAAAGUAGAUCUUCAUCACAAAUCAUUUUCAUUGUCUUCUUGCGACAUGAUGUUAUUCAUCAGAAUGUCAUAAUUUAUUUGUAUCAAUUUCAAAUUUAUGUAAGGUAUAUGCCAAAUAUUUUGUAAAAUUAUGAUAUCACAUUGUUAUAAGAUUGUUAUGAAAUAUAGAUUUUGAGAAAAAUAA